rnacentral:lncRNA from 1 species
UGCCACCAUGCCUAGCUAAUUAUUAGAUUUUAAGUCUGGAAUGAUUUCAAAGCGUGGAUGGGAAAAGGCAGAAGAAAGCCAGGCAGUGGUGGCACAUGCCUUUAAUCUCAUCACUUGGAAGCAGAGCCAUUCGACCUCCGUGAGUCUGACCUGGUCUACAGAGUGAGUUCCAGGACAGCAAGGACUACACAGGAUUCCUGUCUCAAAAAAAAAAGAAAGAAAGAAAGAAAGAAAGAAAGAAAGAAAGAAAGAAAGAGAGAGAGAGAAAGAGAAAAGAAAAAAGAAAAGAAAAGAAACAAUAAUAACAAAAAUUCCAAAAGGAAAAAGGAAGGAAGGAAGAAAAGAAGGAAGGAAGGAGGGAGGAAAUGAAGGAAGGAAGGACAGAGAAAACAAAUACAAUUGCCUCAGAUGCUAACCAUGGGUAUUCGCCUAAUGUCAUGGCAAAGGGAGAGAAGGGAGGAGGAAGAAACAGAAUGCAGAGUGCCUGCUCGCUGCUGUGAGGUAAGAAGUGGACUUACAACACUCCCAUCGGCCCCCAAUACACACAGCGUAUCAGUAACUUGAAGAACUGAGGUAAGGUGUGGCUCAGAAAACUUUCUCUGUCGCUCAGGUGGGAAAACGGUGAAGUGUUCCAACCCAUAUGGAAACAGCUGAUUUAUUGCUGUCACACGAACGGCUUCAUUAUUUCCAUCAGUGCCUCCUUCAGCAGCAGGAAUUCUGGUUUCCAGAUGGGGAUGUUGGCUCUCCAGUUUCCUAAAAUGAUGAAGACUCUGCCACUGUGAUAUGGUAGCCACAGAAAGGAAAUGAGACAAGAGAAUGACUCUGCGUGGUGCUACCCUCCCUGUGUGAUGCAUUCCACCCUGUCUUCCUUCUUUCUCUACCUGCCUAUACAUAAUUGACACCCAUAUCCUAUAAUUCCAAUUUGAAGAUUAGACAUACUUGCUUUUAUAAUGGUUUUUUUUUUCUUAGUUUUGAGACUACAUCUCAUGGGUGUACAGAUGGAGUAUGGGUAGUAGUUUCUUUUUUUUUUUUUUUUAAGAUUUUAUUUAUUUAUUUAUUUAUUUAUUUAUAUGAGUACACUGUAGCGGUCUUCAGACACCCCAGAAGAGGGCAUCGGAUCCCAUUACAGAUGGUUAUGAGCCACCAUGUGGUUGCUGGGAUUUGAACUCAGGACCUCUGGGAGCACAAUCAGUGCUCUUACCCACUGAGCCAUCUCUCCAGUCUGGGUAGUAGUUUCUUGUAAGACUAUAAAGACCUACUUAUUCCAUUAUGAUCAUUUCCUAGGGACCAAU